rnacentral:rRNA from 1 species
AACCGGGAAUUUUGCGCAAUGGACGAAAGUCUGACGCAGUGACAUUGUGUGUGGGAUGAAGGCCUUUGGGUUGUAAACCACUGUGAUAAAGGAGAAAUACAAUUGAUAGUACUUUAUUAGAAAGCACCUGCUAACUACGUGCCAGAAGCCUCGGUAAUACGUAGGGUGCAAGCGUUAUCCGGAAUUACUGGGCGUGAAGAGUCUCGUAGGCGGUUUGUUAAGUGGUGGGUUAAAGACCAAGGCUCAACUUUGGGAAUGCCUGUCAAACUGACAAACUAGUGGAAAUUCGGGGAUGUUGGAAUUCUUGGUGGAGGAGUGAAAUCCGUUGAUAUCAAGAAGAACACCAAUGGCGAAGGCAGACAUCUAGGAUUUUCCAGACGCUGAUGAACGAAAGCUAGGGGAGCGAAAGGGAUUAGAGACCCCUGUAGUCCUAGCCGUAAACUUUGGACACUAGGCUAUCCGA